rnacentral:rRNA from 1 species
UACGAAGGGGGCUAGCGUUGCUCGGAAUCACUGGGCGUAAAGUGUGCGCAGGCGGCCGAGCAAGUCGAGUGUGAAAGCCCCGGGCUUAACUUGGGAAUUGCGCUCGAAACUACUUGGCUGGAGUGUGGCAGAGGAAGGUGGAAUUCCAGGUGUAGCGGUGAAAUGCGUAGAGAUCUGGAGGAACACCGAUGGCGAAGGCAGCCUUCUGGGCCAACACUGACGCUCAUGCACGAAAGCGUGGGGAGCAAACAGG